rnacentral:rRNA from 1 species
UACGUAGGGGGCAAGCGUUAUCCGGAAUUACUGGGCGUAAAGGGUGCGUAGGCGGUUUUGUAAGCGCGGGGUGAAAGGCAGAGGCUCAACUUCUGUUAGCCCCGUGAACUGCAUUACUUGAGUACGGGAGAGGAAAGUGGAAUUCCUAGUGUAGCGGUGAAAUGCGUAGAUAUUAGGAGGAACACCAGUGGCGAAGGCGACUUUCUGGACCGCAACUGACGCUGAGGCACGAAAGUGUGGGGAGC